CAGUAGCCGCGGUAAUACGGAGGGUGCAAGCGUUAAUCGGAAUUACUGGGCGUAAAGCGCACGCAGGCGGUCUGAUAAGUCAGAUGUGAAAUCCCCGGGCUUAACCUGGGAACUGCAUUUGAAACUGGCAGGCUGGAGUCUUGUAGAGGGUGGUAGAAUUCCAGGUGUAGCGGUGAAAUGCGUAGAGAUCUGGAGGAAUACCGGUGGCGAAGGCGGCCCCCUGGACAAAGACUGACGCUCAGGUGCGAAAGCGUGGGGAGCAAACAGGAUUAGAUACCCCGGUAGUCCCUGUCUCUUAUAA
rnacentral:rRNA from 1 species